rnacentral:sRNA from 1 species
ACGGACGUGCAUGACUACGAAGUGAAGAUGCGUUCGGUUUUCAAGUUUCUCGAGAAUGGCGACAAGUGCAAGAUCACCCUGCGGUUCCGUGGCCGUGAGAUGGCGCACCAGAACCUUGGGCGCGAGUUGCUCGAACGCGUGGCUGAAGAUGUCAAAGAGAUCGGCAAGAUCGAGAAUAUGCCAAAGAUGGAAGGCCGCCAGAUGAUCAUGAUGAUCGGACCGGUUGCCAAGUAACCAGAUCGGCACAGGCCCGCACCUGAUCCGGGCAACGAUCCAAGGGGUGCGCAGCGGCGCGCCCC